CGGAAGUUCCCGCGCUGCCGCUGGUGGGAGUUGUAGUCCGGCCGUGGUUAGGGGGGGGCCCGCGGCUCAUGCGCGGUGCAUCGAGGCUUGUUUCACAUCUGUAACAACAGGAGGAGGCCCAGCCUCGUGAUGAGGAAUAGCAAGGAGAGAAUUCCGCUGCAGUUCAGACGCCUCCAGAAGCUGAGGUCUUCACUGCUCUCGUAAGGGUUCCAGCUUCCCUCCUGCCAGAGAUGUUCAGCCUGGACUCAUUCAGAAAAGAUCGGGCCCAGCACAGGCAACGUCAGUGCAAACUCCCCCCGCCGCGCCUCCCACCCAUGUGCGUCAACCCUGCCCCCGGAGGGACCAUCUGUCGAGGUAAGGGAGGAGCCCGGCUCCAGCACCAGCGUCGGGGCUGUGGGGCGGGGGCCUCUGGGAAGCGAGUGAGGAGAGCGGGGUUCGCA